GACGAACGCGGCGGCGUGCGUAAUACAUGCAAGUAGAACGCACAGGAUGCACCGUAGUUUACUACACCGUAUUCUGUGAGUUGCGAACGGGUGAGUAACGCGUAGGUAACCUGCCUGGUAGCGGGGGAUAACUAUUGGAAACGAUAGCUAAUACCGCAUAAGAACAUUUACUGCAUGGUAGAUGUUUAAAAGGUGCAAGAGCAUCACUACCAGAUGGACCUGCGUUGUAUUAGCUAGUUGGUGAGGUAACGGCUCACCAAGGCAACGAUACAUAGCCGACCUGAGAGGGUGAUCGGCCACACUGGGACUGAGACACGGCCCAGACUCCUACGGGAGGCAGCAGUAGGGAAUCUUCGGCAAUGGGGGGAACCCUGACCGAGCAACGCCGCGUGAGUGAAGAAGGUUUUCGGAUCGUAAAGCUCUGUUGUUAAGGAAGAACGUGUGUGAGAGUGGAAAGUUCACACAGUGACGGUACUUAACCAGAAAGGGACGGCUAACUACGUGCCAGCAGCCGCGGUAAUACGUAGGUCCCGAGCGUUGUCCGGAUUUAUUGGGCGUAAAGCGAGCGCAGGCGGUUAGAUAAGUCUGAAGUGAAAGGCAGUGGCUCAACCAUUGUAGGCUUUGGAAACUGUUUAACUUGAGUGCAGAAGGGGAGAGUGGAAUUCCAUGUGUAGCGGUGAAAUGCGUAGAUAUAUGGAGGAACACCGGUGGCGAAAGCGGCUCUCUGGUCUGUAACUGACGCUGAGGCUCGAAAGCGUGGGGAGCGAACAGG
rnacentral:rRNA from 1 species